rnacentral:rRNA from 1 species
AUGAGCUGCUUUCAGUUUCCAAUCGCAACUUGUGGGAAAUUUAGACAAAUCAUCGCGGACCAUUGGUGGGGCUGCGAGGAUGGGAAGAAAAAACUGCACUGGAGGUCAUGGGAAUGGCUAACCGCACAUAAGUUUCUUGGGAAGAUGGGAUUUCGCGAUAUGGUCUAGUUCAAUCAGGCCAUGCUUGGACGGCAAGGCUGGCGUAUUCUCACCUCACUGGAAUCCCUCUACGCCCGUGUUCUCAAAAGCAGAUACUUUCCUCACGGUGAUUUCUGGCAUGCUGUAGCACCUCGAUCUGCCUCUUACACCUGGCGCAGUAUAUUAUUUGGUCGUGAGCUACUGAAGUAG